UUGAUGAGGAAGGGGCAAACACAUUGGUGGCUGUUCAGAAACUGUGAAGCUACACGGGAAAGGAUAACUUGAACCUUUGCUGGCAGAAAUAAAAAAAAAAAAGGCAUAAAGCUAGCUUGGUGAGCAAAUUUUUGUUUAAAGAUUUCAAUGGCCUUGCAAUAUGACUUCGAACUUGCACAUUUGUAGCUUUAUGUUUCAUAUAAGAACGCAGUAAGAACCUUAUUGUCUUGAUUUGUUCAUGAUUAAUUGAUAAUCCAAUUUGAUUUGAGAAAA